rnacentral:tRNA from 1 species
AUGUUUUAGUAUAUGAUGUACAAAAGCUUUUGAUGUUUUUAGAGAUAGUUUAAUUCUAUCAAACAUAAU